GCAGUACUCUUGGCCUUUUUUAGGCUAAGAUCAUGUGUAGUUCCUGUUCUUACCUAUGUCCUCCAUAGGAGGUCUGUGUUGAAUGGAUUUUUGGUGUUGGGAGGUGGAACUGGAGCUUGCUCCAUCCUCUCCAUGCAUCAGCCUGGUAUUACAGUGCUUCCAGGAGUGGUGCAAUAAAU
rnacentral:snRNA from 1 species